AUUGAACGCUGGCGGCAGGCCUAACACAUGCAAGUCGAGCGACCGGCGGACGGGUGAGUACUGUCUGGCAAACUGCCUGUUGGAGGGGGCUAACUACUGGAAACGGUAGCACAUCCCGCCUACCAUCAGGCCUGCCCAGAAGGGAUUAGUGAGUAGGUUGGGUAACGGCCAACCUAGGCGACGAUCCCUAGCUGGUCUGAGAGGAUGACCAGCCACACUGGAACUGAGACAAGGUCCAGACCCCUACGUGCGGCAGCAGUGGGGAAUAUUGCGCAAUGGGCGCGAGCCUGAUGCAGCCAGGCCGCGUGUGUGAAGAAGGCCUUCGGGUUGUAAAGCACUUUCAGCGGGGAGGCGUUACCCGCAGAAGAAGAACCGGCUAACUCCGUGCCAGCAGCCGCGGUAAUUC
rnacentral:rRNA from 1 species